GGGGUCUCUGGGUCUGCAAGCUGCCUUGUUGGCACACAAGGGGGUUAAGUGCUUGGACUUGAGUGGGGGCUGAGUGUUCAGCCUUGAGCAGGGGGGCGAAGCGCUCGGCCUUGAGUGGGGGCUUGGGCGUUUGGGCUUGAAGCAAACAGGUAAUAAAGAACCAGACAGAGGGUUUGAGUGGCCAGGUCACCCUGCAGCUAACUUUGUUUGGCAUGCCCUGCAGACAAAUUACUCAGCCUGUCCUGCACCUAACAGAAAGGACACCUGCAAAGUCCAAGGACCACAACACACACCAGAAUCCCAUGUAAGAGAUUUAUGUCAGUAGCAUGGAGCAAACUGAUAAGGCUGUCCCUUUCAGGAGAACAGCAGCCUGUUGGCACUCACAGAGCAGCUUUUUAGCCCACAAGAGGAAUUUCACACACGCGCUUAAGGGUUGUGUCAUGGGCUGGGGUGGGGUUGGCCUUUUAGCAGGCACAUCCAGAAGCCUGGGAGUCCCUAGACAAAAUGGCUCCUGAAUGGAAACUUGGGAGUCCCUGAAUAAAAUGGCUCCUAAAUCGGAACUUAGCAGGCCCUAGAUAAAAAUGGCUCCAACCUAAAAUGGUGGAUCUGAUGCUAAUAUUGAUCUGAUGCCAAUAAGUUCCACAAUCACUUCAUUUCUUACCGUGUUCGAGAUUCCCUGACAUGGGUUAGUAAUGCAAUCUUCUUUCUGUGAUCACAUAUAGAUUCUCCAGCAUGAAGUUGAUUUCAGAGCUUACAAGUUUCCUCUCCAGUGUGCAGUUUUAUACAAUCUGUGCUAAGAAAAAUGAUUUUGUCAUAUGCCCAUUGCACACAUAGGCUCUGCUUCCAUGGUGUCUUAUCUCAUGAUAAGUAAAGUGUGACUUAUAACUGAAUGCUUUCCCACACUCAAAGUUUAUGUGCCUUUCUGUGGUAUGAAUUUUCUGAUGUCUAAUUGAGAAAUCUGCUACAUAACUUUCCACAGUGACUACAUUUAAAUGGCUCCUCUCCUGUUUUUGUUGUGUCAGAAACUAAAUUUUGACCAAAAGCUUGCCCACAUUCAUAACACACAAAGGGUUUCUCUCCAGUAUGAAUUCUCAUCCACUAUAAGAUGUAACUUUUGUUGUGUUUUUUGAUUCAUUAAGUUCCAAAUUUAAAAUUCUCACAGAGUGUUAGGACAAAUGAUGGACACAUGACGAAGGCGGGAAGCGGGAAGCAAACCUCAGAUCAGCAGGCUUUUUUUUAUUCAGUAUUUGGCAGGGGAGACAAUUGGUGGAACUCAGGCAUGGCUUAUUUUGGGGGCAGAAAAUGGCAACAGGCUGCAGCAAAGGCCUGGGUUUUAUAGGCUUCCUUUAGGUUGGGACAGGAGGGCGAUUCCUGGGGUUCAUUAUAUUGGGGUCCAGUGACCCAUUAGGGUGGGACAGGAAUGUGAGUAGGAAAUUUUAUGGGGCUUAUUGUAUUGGUAUCAGGUGACUCAUUAGGGUGGGGGUCAGGUGCCAGUCAGGUGGAGUUCCUUUUGUGUCACUUGCUCUGGCUGAGGCCUGGGAUUUUAAAUGACAAAAGCUUGGGGGAAAUGGCCUUGGACUUAUUUUCCAUAUACUUCAAGCUCAAUAAAGCUAUUACAAAUAUAUUUUGUAUAUGCGUGCGUGUACAUAUACAAAAUAUAUACAUAUAUAUACAAAAAAUAUAUGCACACAUAUGUAUACAUAUAUAAUAUACAUGUAUAUAUACAUAUACAUAAUAUAUAAUACCAUAUAUAGGUGAGGGGAAAGAGAGAGAGGUCACCUAAUAACUGAAGCAAGCUCAUGCUUGGGAAAUGUUUUGUUUUGUUUGGUACCUGGGACUGAAUUCAGGGGCACGCAAUCACUGAACCACAUCCCCAGUCCUAUUUUUAUUUUAUUGGAGACAGGGUCUCACUGAGUUUCUUAGUGCUUCAUUUUUGCUGAGACUGGCCUUGAACUUGAGAUCCUCCUGUCUCAGCCUCCUGAGCUGCUGGGAUUACAAGCAUGCACCACUGUGCCUGGCUUGGAAAAUACUUUGGGUUAAUAAAAUGUGCUGCUUUUAGGAAUUAAUUCCCAUUGUAUCAACAGUGGGCUGUACAUUACUUCUAAUAGGCUUGGAAAGGCCCCAAAUACCAAAUGGUAAAUGGGGUAGCUUAGGGUGUGGGAGUGACCAGAACCUUAUAUACAACUUCUCGACAGUCUGUUUACCCAGAAAUGAGGUAUACUCCUCUGAAAUGAAAUUGCUUUAGUAGAUAAAUCCAUUGCUGAAACCAUCUGAAUUUAGCCUAUUAAGUCAGUUAUCAAGUUAACAAACUUAUGAAACAGUUGCAUUAAAACAAUGUACUUGGGGGAAAGGAAGGACAGCAGAAUAAAAUAGACAUUAUUAUUGCUGUAUGUAUAUAUGUGACUGCAUGACCAAUGUGAUUCUGCAACCUGUACACUCAGAAAAAUGAGAAAUUAUACCCCAUCUGAUUCAAAUGUAUGAUACGUCAAGAUCAUUGUACUGUCAUGUGUA
rnacentral:lncRNA from 1 species